CUGCUGAGAACCACCAACCACAUGGGCAGGGCUUGGCAUGGGUCAGUGUCCCCUAGCAGCCCCAGAGCCCGCUCUGCCAUGCCUUACAAUAGACGAGAGUCUCUGGACCCUUAGGUCCAGGCUUCUGGCCCUCAGAAGGGCCUGGGCUGCUCCUUGGGGCCUAGGGAGUUGCUGCGAACGGCAAUGAUAGCAGGUCAAAGGCCUUCUCCAGAGAGGAAGUGAAAGUCCUGCCGGGUCUGUCCUUCCUUUGUUCCUAGGCUCUCCCACUCCUGGCGCCAGGCUAAAUUACAGCCUGCUGGCCCUCAGCUGAUUGACAGCCAGGAACAAAGCAGCACUCACCACUUAUUACAAAGUAAAGCAGAUGGAGACCAUUACAGAAAGCCAACAGCUGGUGGAAAUGCGGAGAACAACUUGCCAUGAAGAGCCUCGCUCCAACUGAUAUAAGCACAAGAUAACACCUACACCUAAGACUCAGAACAGAGCCAGAGGACCAGGACACCCGGUAAGAGACAGAAGAUGAGAACCUGUGGAUUCCUUCCAGGCUAAUGUGGCUUGAUGAAACAAGACAUCCCAAAAGAUCUCCAUGAACCCUCAAAAUACUUUUCCCAACUAACAGCAGGAAGCAGUUUAGAGAAAACUACACCCAAAUUCCCAAAAUGAUUGUUUAUAAAUGUUAAUUUUCAUUU